AAAAACGCCCUAAGAAUUUCCAAAAAGUCCUCUAAACCACCAGGCAAUUCCCGGCGCGUGAGAAUCUUCACAAGGUACCCAAAAUCGUACGCGCUGUGAAACGUGACCCAACUUACUGAAUCAUUACAUACCAGACCGGACGACAUCAUAAACUCUGCAAACCGGGCCGAGUCAAUCCCACAUUCUCGGUUCAUCUCGAAAUCAAUCCCCUGUCGCCGGAGCAACUCGAUGGAGGCCGGUGCGUAUAAAUCACGGGUCAUAUCAAAAUCAGAGAAGUUGAACUGCCAGAUGUACCGGUAACCUUCGCCGGAGCCCAAAUCAGGUAAGUUACCCUCAGCGUCAGAUAAUGUAAGACCGAGCUGAAUAAGAUUCAAUACGUCAACGUUAGACUUCAAUAACUUAUACUGAUCGGACGGCAAAUUUCGCCGGCGACGGUAAAUUUCAGCAGGCUUGAAAACAACACCGGGAAACUCCGUAUCCAUAGAUAUAAAAGGGUACUGAUCAAUCACCGUAGAAAUGAGUUCAAAUUCUGAUUCAAGAUUAUCAGCCCAUACUUCCCGAAUUUUUAUAGCCAUCUCGUUUAAUCUCCAAAAUCCUUAAACGGGUAAUCCCUAAAAUUGAAAACCCCUGUCGCCGGAGCAACUCGAUAGAGUCCGGCGCGUAUAGAUCCUGGGUCACAUCAAAAUCAGAGAAGUUGAACUGCCAGAUGUACCGGUGACCUUCGCCGGAGCCCAAAUCUGGUAAAUUCCCCUCAGCGUCAGAUAACGUAAGACCGAGCUGAAUAAGAUUCAAUACGUCAACGUUUGACUUCAAUAACUUAUACUGAUUGGACGGCAAAUUUCGCCGGCGUCGGUAAACUUCAGCAGGCUUGAAAACAACACCGGGAAACUCCGUAUCCAUUGAUAUAAAAGGGUACUGAUCAAUCACAGUAGAAAUGAGUUCAAAUUCUGAUUCAAGAUUAUCAGCCCAUACUUCCCGAAUUUUUAUAGCCAUCUCGUUUAAUCUCCAAAAUCCUUAAACGGGUAAUCCCUAAAAUUGAAAAAAAAAAAAGGGUUUUGAAGGAAAGAGGAUGUUGUUUGUUUUGGUGGAGAGUGGUUUUUAUAGGAAGAAGGGUGGAGUGAAUAAAGAUAAAGAAUAUGUUAGUAUUGCUUAUUAGGAAAGGGAAAAGAAGGGUGGUGGGGGAGUUGAGUGGUCUGCAGAAGGACAAAGGAAAGAGAUGGGAUGGUAAAAUGAAAUAGGGAGGUUUCUGGUCUAUGUUCAACGCGUUUGACUGAUGAAGGCUGCUAGCUAGUGUAGUAAUAUAAAAAUUUGGUUUGUAAUAUUGAUAAUACACGGAUUAAGUGUGUUGAACCAAUUCAUUCAAGAAAUACUUUUUAUAAUAUUUGGUAAAAUAAUUUAUAUUUCGCCAAUCUUUUUAAAGCUUACUUUUAAGUGUCAAAUUAGUAAAAACAAUAAUAUCAAGGUCUUAUAAUUAUUUUAAAGAGAAAAAUGAACUGAAAUAUUAUUAUAAGAGACUUUUAUUAUUUUUAUUUUGUUUAAUUAAAUAUAAAAUAUAAAAUAAAUAAACAUAAUAAAGAUUUAACUCAACUUUACAUAUAUAGUUGUACCAAAGUCUAUAAUAUAAUCUUUUUAAUUACUUAUUAUUACACAUUGAUUUGAAUAAUCAAAAUACAUCAUUUCACAUGAAUUAGAAGUAUGUUCCACAAAAUAUUAUAUACUUAUAAUCUAUCAUGAAAUAAUAAGUAAAGUCACUCAGACAUGAUAAUAUUUUUCAACAAUUUCAUCUCUACUUCUAUCACACAAUGCAUUCAUAUUAGUAGAAGACUUGCCUUGCAUUACUAAAGGAAUAUCAGAAGACCCAUCUUCAUCCUUAAUUUUUGCAGUAAUGUCUUUAUUUGCAUAAUAGUUGAAUUCCUUAUCAGUAGAAGAAUAUUGCUGGAUGAAAUUAUAUACAGCCAUUAUAGUUGUAAGUAGAUGAUUCUAAGUGACAAACUUAAAAUAUGGCAUUGAGCGUAAAAUAAAAAUAAGUUUAAAGAGUAGUUAAUCAUUAAACACAUAAUGUAUAACUUAAUUUUUGAUAUAUUUAAAUUAAAAACUAUUUAUUACCUGACCUAACUAAUUUUGUCGUAAAUUGCCGUAGCCUAUUAUGAGACUACCAUUUGGCUUAAUCUGGAUGUUUCUUUAUCUUCUAAUAAUAUGCAAUAGAUUAUGAGAUGAAAUUGUAAAUGUAUACCUAUUUGUAUGUAAUUUUCACAAAUUAAAUUUGAUAACCAUUUUAAAGAUUCGAGAACUACUAGCCUAUAACAGAAAAAACAAUAAAUAGUUAUUUGUAGAAAAAGAAUUGAUAAUUCAAAAAGGAGGUAGAUAAUUUGCUUUAGUGUGAAGAAAGAAGAACAUAAUUUAAAAAGUUACAAGACAUUACACCAAAAAAAUAAUAAUUCAAAAACAAGAAAAGUCAGUAAAGAAUUUGGAAAGUUAAUAUAUUCAUAUAUAUGAUAUCUUUUACUUUAAGAGAAUGAUAAAAAUCAAAAACAAAUAUGAAAAAAACUUAAGUUAGUAAGGGAUAAUUUGAAAAGUAUGAAUUUUAAGGUAAUGAUAGUUUUGUCUCGAGUAAAUUAAUUUUUUGCUUCUGCUUUUGCUUCUGUUUCGUAGAAGAAGCUAGAAUUUUCUGUUUCUUCGCAAAAGCAGAAAAUUGCUUCUACUGCUGAUCAAAAGUACUUCUUUAUCUUGAUCAAACCACUUAAAUUUUUAAAAAAUACUAUUUUUUAAAAGGAAAAAGUACGUUUAGCCUCUCAAAAGCAUAGGCAAACAAACUCUAAGUUAGAAUCAUAUAUUAUUUUAAGUUAGAUUAAACAUUGAACUAAAAUUACAUAUACGAGUUUUUAAUUGUUAUAUAAUAAUCUCUUUAUUAUUAUUGACUGCACAACAAUUUUUUCAUUAUCAAUCAGCGCAUAUAAGUUGGGCUUUAUAAUUUCUGUAUAUUUAGACCUCAGCGUGAACAAAUGAUUCCUUAAGUAUAUUUGAAUAAAUUUUAUCAUCUACUUAUAAUUUCAAUGUAUGUAAAAGUUUAUUUACAAUUCUUUAAAUAAAUUAUUUAACUUAGUGUAACACGAAGUACAAUGAACACAAAGUAGAAUGUGUUUUCACAUUUCACAAUGUUUGGAUAAUGUUUUAAAAGAGGGAAUGGUUUUCGCUAUACAGACUGGAAGGGAGCGAAGCAAGUACUGAUUCUGUUUUGUGUGUAUUUCUGGUUUUUGUGGAACUGUGGAUUAUUUUGAUAGUUUGAGAAUGAGACACUUGCAUGGCGGUGCACGUAAAAAGUUACUAAACUCUUAAUGAUAAUUCUUUAGGAAAAUUGUGUACCUUCAAAAUCGGAUCACAAUUAAAUUUGUAAGUAUUUUUAUGGGUAUAUAGAUUAACUUGAUACAAAGCGAUGAAUUGAACUGUAAUUGAAAUAAGCAAUGAUAAAUUAAAUUCAAACCACACGAAUUGAACAGUUACAGUCUUGGGAGAUUAGCCAUCCUCGAACUGGAUGUAGUUCGAUCGGUAUCAAGACAUAACUAAAACAAGAAGUUACAAAGAAGAAUAACGUAUUG
rnacentral:lncRNA from 1 species